AUUACUCCUACGGGAGGCAGCAGUAAGGAAUAUUGGUCAAUGGACGAAAGUCUGAACCAGCCAUGCCGCGUGAAGGAUGAAUGCCCUCUGGGUUGUAAACUUCUUUUAUAUGGGACGAAAAAAGAUCUUUCUAGAUCACCUGACGGUACCAUAUG
rnacentral:rRNA from 1 species